UUGAAGUUACCAAACGAUGAAACUCCAGUGAGAGCUCGCUAGAGAAUAUGACCGGAGUAUUUCGCAGGUGGUCUGAGUUUGGACCAAACAGGUUGAAAUUUUGAAAGGUUUUGAUUGGUUAAAUUUAAAACAGAUUUUGUGCUUUGCUUGUAACGUAUUCUAUCGUGUUUCUCAACAUUUGGAGUGUUGGAUCUGCCACGUCAAUUAAUGAGGCGUGAUCCAACGCUCCUGGUUUUUUC
rnacentral:lncRNA from 1 species